UAGAAAGACUGACUUAACGUUUUCUCGUGAGGGAUGAGAAUUUUCGAAUGUUAAGUUCGCAUGAUUCUAGUUGUUUGAGUGCAACAAAACUAGAUCUGUGACAACGCUCACACUCGGAUCAUGACUGGACCUAGAAUUAAUAGCCUUGGGCGUAUUGAUCGACACGUUUACAUCGGGUUACUUGAUGCAAAACAAGGAGUGCAAAUUUUUGGUGUUCACAGUGCUGGGAAGGAGCUUGCUGAGGAUGUUGACUUUGAAAAGGUGAGAAAAGGGCAUUCUAAGAUCUACCAGCAAGAUAUUGUCAAUGUACUGGACAAGCAAUUGCUCGAGGGUAUGGGUGUGCUUCUAACUGAAGAGAAGUAGCAACAAUGUGAACAAAGCGUGUCUUUGGAAAAGAAAAGACUUCUGGCAGUACAUGAAGCGGGUCACAUAGUAUUGGCACACUUGUUCCCUCGAUUUGACUGGCAUGCAUUUUCACAGCUCUUACCUGGUGGCAAGGAAACUACAGUGUCUGUUUUUUUAUCCUCGGGAAGAUAUGGUUGAUCAAGGUUAUACAACCUUUGGCUACAUGCAAAUGCAAAUGGGGUUGCUCAUGGGGGACACUGUGCUGAGUGUAUUGUGUUUGGUGAUGACAUUACCGAUGGAAGAAGAGAUGACUUAGAAAAAAUUACAAAGAUUGCUUGGGAAAUGGCGAUAAGCCCUAUGAAUCAUAGGUUGGGGCUCACUGCUUUGACAAAGAGAAUCGAUCUGGUUGAUCGACCAGAUAAUCCGGAUGGUGAGAUGAUAAAAUAUAAGUGGGACGAUCCUCACAUCAUUCCAGCUGAUAUGACACUUGAAGUUUCUGAGCUAUUUACUCGAGAAUUAAUAAGGUACAUUGAAGAGACAGAAGAACUUGCAAUGAAGGGAUUGAUGGACAACAGACGUUUAGGGCUCAUACCCAGCUCCUUGCAAGUAUCAACAACCCAUUUGUCUAGGCCAAGGUUUAAGAAAGUUACAUGAGCAGGAGUUGGAUUGGGGCAUGAUUCUUUUACAACUGAUUUUGGGACAGCAAGUGCAGGGCCUGAUUCUUUUAUGACUGAUUUUGGUGUAGCAGGAACAUCUGUUUCACAUGAAGGUACGAAUUUUUUGGUAGAGGUAGCAGCUGGUUUUUUUCUAGAAAACAAGGGGAAAUUUCUGCCGACUUGGACUAGUUCAUCCAUAAUUGCCAACUUGAGGAAGCUGAUGGCUAAAACCUAGUUAAAGACAUUCAUGGCUGAUGGAGCUAAUUUCGAGUCAAACAAAGCCCCCUAGACUUCACAAUUGAACUUCUUUUUUCUGAACACACCAAGUAAACUUUAUUUGAUAGAAAAACAAUGGGCAAUCCAAAGAUUAUUUAUGGAAAAAAAAGGAACUUGCACACUUACAAUUUUGAGUAGAUUCUAAGUUUGAAUUUGGGACAAAAUCUAUGGGAGAUCUUCUGCCAAACGUGCCUGCCAAAUAGAACACUAAUCAGAACAAAAAGAAAUAUAUACAAAUGGGCUACACCUAUUCAGAGCUUAAACACAUAAAACGAAGAAGGCAGACUGCUAAUUGAUGCCGGAUAUACUAGGAGAAUUGUAGGAGAACGGGAGAAGCUAAAGAAGAAGAGAAAUGAGAGGGAAAGGAGAGAAGAAGAGGGGAAGAGUAGAAAUUAAGGAGAGAAAUCAAUUUAUUUCAUAAUCAAAAGUUGUUUUAUUCCAUUGCAAAAGAACCCCUUAUAUAGGGUUUGAAAUAUUUUAUCUUAAGAAGGAAAAUAUCUAAUAAAAAUAAUUAAAUUAAACCUAAUUAUAUUUCCUAAAAUACGACUUAAAAUUGGAAGCUAAACAUAAUAACAUUCCUUCUAAUUGCAUCAUUUUCUCCUCGACUGAGAACUCGACUCCGGCGAGGUAGACUGAAACUUCAUACUCCAAGAAGGAUAUCUUUUGUCUUGGCCAAAUGCCUAUAUUGAACAUUGGACAGCAACAUCUUGUUAAACUCAUACCAAGGAGGGCAAUCUUUCUGAUUAACCAAAUAUUUAAACUUAUCACUUAAGGAUAACUGAUGUUGCAAAUCAUCUUGAUGAUUAUGAUCUAACCAAGGUGGACGAUCUCUCCUUCUAACCAAAUUGCGACAAGGAACUCCAAAAAUCAAAAACUCAUGUAAUUCACCCACAAAGUCGACAAUUGAUUAAUCAUGAUAAGUAGUACAAGGAUCUAGCAAAGUCACUAUUACUACGAUAAUGUACCCUCCCCAUGCAAUUAUCCCCUGUCUAAGACCUUUGUUAGAAACACACAUUCUCCUCCUAUGCAAGUUGCACUUCAACUAUUGGACGUUUAUGGUCUCACAGGACCUAACUCAUUUCUUGAUUGGCUCGAUAGGCUUGAAAUGUUUUUUACCUAUCACAAUGUGAGUGACUCCCGUAAACUUUGUCAUGCUAGUAUAUCAUUAAUUGGUCCUGCUAAAAAUUGCGUAAUCAUCUAGGCCAACGCACUAUCACUUUGUGGGAUGGGAUGAAACGAAUUUUAAGCAAUAACUAUGCCCCUGCAUACUAUAAAACUCAAUUGUUAAAUCAAUUCUUUUUGCACUAUAGGCAAGGUACUUUUACUGUUUUAUCUAUCCUAUUUUAAAGAGUUGUUGAACAAGUGUUAUAUUUAUGAGGCUCCCCACAUCACAGUGUCUAGAUUUAUCACUGGUUUGAAUCCUGAAAUCUUGCCAAAUGAUAUUCAUUCAUUCCAAUCUUUGGAUGAUGCUUACCAACAUGCUAACCUAUGGAACAUAUCCUUUCAUCUUCGUUAAGCAUGCCGUAAGCUAGGUCUAUCGUCCCAGUCCAAACAAUCACUUCUCGAGUCUAAUAUUCCUCUUGAGAAGGAUAAUGACGUUAUUGUUGAACCAAUUGAAUAUUCUGAUAACGAGGGUGAAGAAGAGUAUAUAGUAUUCCCACCUAAGUUAAACAAUCAACCUAUUCUCAAUUACAUGUUGAAGUUGAUCUUGCCUAAUCUGUUGCAUGAUCCUUGUACUACUUAUCAUGAACAAUCAAUUGUCGACUUUGUGGAUGAAUUGCAUGAGUUUUUUAUUUUUGGAGUUCCCUGUCGCAAUUUGGUUAGAAGGAGAGAUCGUCCUCCUUGAUUAGAUCAUAAUCGUCAAGAUGAUUUGCAACAUCAGUUGUCCUUAUGUGAUGAGUUCAGAUAUUUGGUUAAUCAGAAAGAUCGUCCUCCUUGGUAUGAGUUUAACAAGAUGUUUCUGUCCAAGGUUUAAUAUAGGUAUUUGGCCAAGACAAAAGAUACCUUCCUUGGAGUAUGAAGUUUAAGUCUACCUCGUUGGAGUCAAGUUCUCUCAGUCGGGGAGAAAUGAUGCAAUAUUAGAAGGAAAGUUAUUACGUUUAGCUUCCAAUUUUAAGUCAUAUUUUAGGAAAUAUAAUUAGGUUUAAUUUAAUUGCUUUUAUUUGAUAAUUUCCUUCUUAAGAUAGAAUAUUUCAAACCCUAUAUAAGGGGUUCUUUUGUAUUUUAAUAAAACAACUUUUGAUUAUGAAAUAAAUUGAUUUCUCUCACUAAUUUCUCCUUUUCCCCUUUUCUUCUCUCCUUUCCCUCUCCUUUCUCUUCUUCUUUACCUUCUCCCAUUCUCUUACAAUUCUCCUAGUACAUCUGGCGCCAAUUAGCAGUGCGCAUUCUUCGUUUUAUGUGUUUAAGCUUUGAAUACGUGUAACCCGUUUGUAUAUAUUUCUUAGUGUUCUGUUUGGCAGGCACGUUUGGUAGAAGAUCUCCCAUAGAUUUUGUCCCAGAUUCAAACUUAGAAUCUCCUCAAAAUUGUAAGUGUGCAAGUUCCUUUUUUUUCCAUAAAUGAUCUUUGGAUUGCCCAUUGGUUUUCUAUCAAAUAAAGUUUACUCGAUGUGUUUAGAAAAAAGAAGUUCAAUUGUGAAGUCUAGGGGGCUUUGUUUGACUCAAAAUCAGCUCCAUCAUCCAGGAAUGCCUUUAACUAGGUUUUAGCCAUCAGCUUCCUCAAGUUGGCAAUUAUGGAUGAACUAGUCCAAGUUGACAGAAAUUUCCCCUUGUUUUCUAGAAAAAAACCAGCUGCUACCUCUACCAAAAAAUUUGUACCUUUAUGUGAAACAGAUGCUCCCGCUGCACCAAAAUCAGUCAUAAAAGAAUCACACCCUACACUUGCUGUCCCAAAAUCGGUCGUAAAAGAUUCAGACCCCAAUCCAACUCCUGCUCAUGUAACUUUCUUAAACCUUGGCCUAGACAAAGGGGUUGUUGAUACUUGCAAGGAGCUGGGCAUGAAGCAACCCACUUCGGUCCAACAUCACUGCAUUCCCAAAAUACAUUGAAGAGACAGAAGAACUUGCAAUGAAGGGAUUGAUGGACAACAGAAGAUAUUAGAUUUGAUUGCGAAGGAACUUCUAGAAAACUCGAGGAUAACCGAAUCAGUAGGAUAGUUGCUCAAUUUCAUUCUGAAGUCCAAGAAAAAAUGGAAGGAUUAUCGCCAAUUAUGUUUGAAGAUUUUGCGAAGCCUUACCAAAUUAACUUAGAAGAGGAAGGACCAUUGCCUCACAAUGAACGGCUGCGUUAUAAACCUUUGGACAUCUAUCUUGCACCACUCCACAGAUGCUAAAUUCUCCAGUGACUACGGUUCUUCAUCCUGCCUGUUGAAGCGAAAGUCAAUUUGGUUGCCAGUUCUAGAAG